rnacentral:rRNA from 1 species
ACGGGAGGCAGCAGUGGGGAAUAUUGGACAAUGGAGGAAACUCUGAUCCAGCGACGCCGCGUGAGUGAAGAAGUAUUUCGGUAUGUAAAGCUCUAUCAGCAGGGAAGAUAAUGACGGUACCUGACUAAGAAGCCCCGGCUAACUACGUGCCAGCAGCCGCGGUAAUACGUAGGGGGCAAGCGUUAUCCGGAUUUACUGGGUGUAAAGGGAGCGUAGACGGCAAAGCAAGUCUGAAGUGAAAUGCCGGGGCUUAACCCCGGAACUGCUUUGGAAACUGUUUAGCUAGAGUGCAGGAGAGGUAAGCGGAAUUCCUAGUGUAGCGGUGAAAUGCGUAGAUAUUAGGAGGAACACCAGUGGCGAAGGCGGCUUACUGGACUGUAACUGACGUUGAGGCUCGAAAGCGUGGGGAGCAAACAGGAUUAGAUACCCUGGUA